AUCCAACUGACGAGUCCCAAAUAGAAUGAAGCGCGCAUCCUGGAU
rfam:Schistosoma curassoni strain Dakar, Senegal genome assembly, scaffold: SCTD_scaffold0001082